rnacentral:rRNA from 1 species
UACGGAGGGUGCGAGCGUUGUCCGGAAUUACUGGGCGUAAAGGGCGCGUAGGCGGUCAGCACAAGUCAGUUGUGAAAUCUCCGGGCUUAACUCGGAAAGGUCAACUGAUACUGUGCGACUAGAGUGCAGAAGGGGCAACUGGAAUUCUCGGUGUAGCGGUGAAAUGCGUAGAUAUCGAGAGGAACACCUGCGGCGAAGGCGGGUUGCUGGGCUGACACUGACGCUGAUGCGCGAAAGCCAGGGGAGCGAACGGG